UGGGAGGGAAUGGUGGGCAGGCAUCAAGCAACCAGGGGACACGUCCAUCAGCAUGUUUGAGCAACAAAAAAGCUCCCAAGUGCUCACCGAGGAACCUACGAGCAUUUCAUAAGAAAAAAUUUGUUUGCUGCAGGGCUGGCGUUGUGACAGCUUCCAGAGGAGAUGGGAUGGAUGGAUGUAUGGAUGGAUGGACGGACAGGAGGCUGUACCGAGAGGAGGAGAAGGGUGAAAGGUGCCUCCUUCCAAGGCAGCAGCUGGUGAGAAGGAGCCUGGGCUGCUCAGUGUCACCACACACAUGGCCUGUGGGGAAGCGUGAGCCCAGCUCCAAUCUUUGUCAGUGGCACCUCGUUGACUUUUAGCGCUUCCUUAUCGUGUCCGUGCUCACCUCGCUGGGCGCUGAUAAAAUGCCUGGGCCGGGUGAUCUGCUGAGCAGCCCUGCAGAAAAACCUGCAGAGCUUGGGAGCCUGAUCUGCCAGCGACCAGCCCGGGGCUCCAGAGCACAGCAAGGUGAGCAACUUGCAGUGAUACACUUGGGAGAGUCCUCUUGAUGGAUUUGAACUGAAUAUAAAACCCUGGACAUCUUCUGAGCAGUGCUUUAUGACACCCCCCUGCAUUUUGUACAUAGACCAGGAAAGACAGCAAGG